rnacentral:lncRNA from 1 species
AGCAAAAGUCAUGGGACCUGUGUCAUCUCCAGGCAAAAGCUUUAAGAACCAGCACAUGGUUUGCUGUGUGCCUUUUGCCACUUCUGCAAGGUGGACAAUGGUCCAGAAAGAGGCUGCUUCGGCAGUCGGGAUUCCAAAGGAGAUGAACAAGCUGGGACAUAGUCAACCUGUGAGGGACACGAAGCUGGAGCAAGAAAGAAGUUUUUGUGGCAGAUAUAAACCUGGGGUAUCUUCACCACCACAUGAACGGGACUACCAGAGAAUGAAGUCAACAUGGAGCACUUCAACAGCUACCCCUUGCUGUCUUCUUCUAUUGCAAGGUUGUGAAUGUGGGGCUUCCAGGGGCCGUGUUCACAGCCCCAUGGGAAAGGCCUGCAGAAAGAACAAAGUCAAACAGAGACAAGUAGAGGCCACUGGCACAGAAAGCAGAGAGAAUCUCCACAACCAGAAAUGACUUGAAGUAAUCCUGACACCCUCCUGCUCAAAACGUUCCAGUGCUUCCCCUCUGCUUGGAAUAAAAUACAGCGUCCUCACCACAGUGCCCGUGGGCCUACAUGGCUCUCCCACCCCACGCGCCUCCACCUCCGUUCAAGGACACACAGCCCUGGGCCUCUGGAGGUCCCUCAGUCUCCAAGCCCACUCCGUAGCCCUUCGCACAUGCUGUUCCCCAGCUAUUUGUACAGCUGACUCCCUCAAUUCAUGUGGGCCCUUGGGAGGUGCCAUCUUCUCAGACAGACCUUCCUUGACCACUUAGUUUCAGUCUGGGACCCUGGCCACUCGCUGGCUCCUACUUAACUCUUUCUUUGGUGGGG